UAGGGAAUCUUCCGCAAUGGACGAAAGUCUGACGGAGCAACGCCGCGUGAGUGAUGAAGGCUUUCGGGUCGUAAAACUCUGUUGUUAGGGAAGAACAAGUGCUAGUUGAAUAAGCUGGCACCUUGACGGUACCUAACCAGAAAGCCACGGCUAACUACGUGCCAGCAGCCGCGGUAAUACGUAGGUGGCAAGCGUUAUCCGGAAUUAUUGGGCGUAAAGCGCGCGCAGGUGGUUUCUUAAGUCUGAUGUGAAAGCCCACGGCUCAACCGGGGAGGGUCAUUGGAAACUGGGAGACUUGAGUGCAGAAGAGGAAAGUGGAAUUCCAUGUGUAGCGGUGAAAUGCGUAGAGAUAUGGAGGAACACCAGUGGCGAAGGCGACUUUCUGGUCUGUAACUGACACUGAGGCGCGAAAGCGUGGGGAGCAAACA
rnacentral:rRNA from 1 species